rnacentral:rRNA from 1 species
ACGAACGCUGGCGGCGUGGAUUAGGCAUGCAAGUCGCGCGACGGACCUUCGGGUUACGGAGCGGCGAACGGGUGAGUAACACGUGAACAACCUACCCCAUCAUUCCGGAUAAUUGGCCGAAAGGCCUUGUAAUACGGGGGAGGAUCCAGACUGGGCAUCCAGAUUGGAUCGAACGAGUAAUCGGUGCUGGGAGGGGUUCGCGGCUUAUCAGGUAGUUGGUGGGGUAACGGCCUACCAAGCCUACGACGAGUAGCUGGCCUGAGAGGAUGGUCAGCCACAUUGGAACUGAGAUACUGUCCAGACUCCUACGGGAGGCUGCAGUCGAGAAUCUUGGGCAGUGCACGAAAGUGUGACCCAGCGACGCCGCGUGGAGGAUGAAGGCCCUCUGGGUUGUAAACUCCUUUUACGGGAGAAGAACAAAUGACGGUAUCCCGUGAAUAAGCCACGGCUAACUACGU